GGAAUCUUCCACAAUGGACGCAAGUCUGAUGGAGCAACGCCGCGUGAGUGAAGAAGGGUUUCGGCUCGUAAAGCUCUGUUGUUAAAGAAGAACAUAUCUGAGAGUAACUGUUCAGGUAUUGACGGUAUUUAACCAGAAAGCCACGGCUAACUACGUGCCAG
rnacentral:rRNA from 1 species